CGACGAGUUUGAUCCUGGCUCAGAUUGAACGCUGGCGGAAUGCUUUACACAUGCAAGUCGAACGGUAGAGGGGGCAACCCCUCGAGAGUGGCGAACGGGUGAGUAAUAUAUCGGAACGUGCCCAGUCGUGGGGGAUAACGUAGUGAAAAUUACGCUAAUACCGCAUACGAUCUAAGGAUGAAACGCGGGGUAUCGCAAGACCUCGCGCGACUGGAGCGGCCGAUAUCAGAUUAGGUAGUUGGUAGGUAAAGGCCUACCAAGCCAACGAUCUGUAGCUGGUCUGAGAGGACGACCAGCCACACUGGAACUGAGACACGGGUCCAGACUCCUACGGGAGCAGCAGUGGGAACUUUGGACAAUGGACGCAAGUCUG
rnacentral:rRNA from 1 species